CCCUUUUCAAAGGAUGCACGCUCCCCACCGGGCGCCGGAGGUGUUUUGCAGCCGCUCUUCCAGAGGCGCGGGUAGGGGGCACCCUACCCCCACCCCCAGAGUUCGCUGGGCACUGGCUGGGAAUCAGCCUCGCUGCUGUGCCCAGCUCCUCUCGGGCCGCGGGGGCUCUGGGGCUCAGCUUCGUGCGGGAUGGGUCCGGGGCGCAGCUGUGGGAAACCUAUUUAUUCUGUUGCUGGGGAAGGAAGACGGAGAAGAGGAGGGGACAGUGCUUUCCUACAGUAGUAUGGUGCAUAUCUCCAACAUCACAGGCAUUGUAGGUACAACAGUGAGCAGGACAAAACCAGCUCUUGUCCUCAUGGAACUAACUUUCUAGAGGGGAAGGCAGACACUAAGCUUCUAAUUGCUUGCAAUUGUGGUGUGAUUUGGCAUCAUGCACUUCGCUCAUCUUAUGGAGAAGACUGAGGCCUGUGGUUGGAAAGGGCGAGGGAGCAGCCUGCUAUCUUUAGAGAACACAGUUUCAGCCUCAAGUUCUUCCUGUACCUCCGAUAUGGAUCUACCCUUCCUGGAUUGAAGCCUUGUGCCAAGUCCAUGGGCCUGAUGAUCCUCUGACUCUCCAAAUGCCAGAUUUUCCUCCUCCUUGCCUCAGGGAAGUGAAGGGCAGCCGAUAGCCCACCUGGAGAAUAAAAUAUGACUACAACCUGCAGUGCUCCAUGGACCUGUCAUUCUCAGCAGUGUAAAUCCUACUGCUCAGAGAGAAGGCAGUUGGCACAAGAAUGUCUACCAUCAGGAGACAAUCAGAUGAGCCAAUGUGGAGCAUCAUGAAGACAUGUUCCUGGGAUCAUCCUGGAAUCCGACUCUGUCUCAGCUCAAGGGGGUUCCGAGAUUUCCUAAGCUAGCCCUCUCAUUUUACAGCUGCAAAAACGGAGGCCUGUUAAUUCAGUCAUUUUAUGAAAUCCUUUGAAAUUUUUAUUGAGCUCUAAUUGUGUGUGAAGUAUUAUGGAAUGCUUCUGUACUGGAAUGCAUAGGUUGAACAAGACAGAAAGGCCCAGAUGGCAGAAGUUCAAGAGCUUUCACCAACCCAUAUAGAGAACCUAGUAAUAUUAAUGACUAAUGUUAAUGAAUCCAUGCUUUUUACGUGCCAGUCACUGUGCCCAGCAUUUUGCAUGCAUUAUCUGAGUCCUCACUACAACGCUGUUACGUAGGUACUGUUAUUAUAACCAUUUUCCAGAUGAGAAAACUGAGGCUCAGUGAAGGCAAGUUUCUUGCCUAGGGUCAUAGAGCUAUAAAGUAGCAGAGUCACAGCUCAAAAGCACAUAUAUGUGAUUCCAAAGCUCAGAUACGUAACCCAUUUAGCCACUUUCACUGUGAUAUGCAAGGGCCCAGGAUUUCAUAUAUAGCAAAGCUAUCAUUUCUGGGUGGACAUGUUUAGGGGCAGUGGGGUACCAGGCAUAAAUAGGCUGUUCAACACGGGGAGGGCAGUGUGUGAAGGAGGCCAGCACAGGGGCUCUGGGAACACAGGCACCUCUGAUGAGAAAGUAGUGUUCUUUCUGCAGUACUGUUCUGAGUAGCUCAGCCUCUUGUUCCCCUUCCCCAGCACCCAGAUUCACACCUACAUGCUGUUAGACAUUCACCCCAUUUAGUACACAGUUAUGCAUACACGUGGCUAUUGUAGCAAUUGUCGAACUUUCACCCUGCAGCUGGGCUGCUUUGCCUUCCCCUGUAGGCUGAGCUCCCAGCUUAGAUUCCAGCACCAAUAGCUAUUUGUGGGACAGGAGAAUGUCAGCAGUGAAGGGCAGCAUGAUGGCCAGCAUGUGGCUUUCCCAAGCAGAGACCUGGGUUCCAGUCCUAGAAGGCAAGGCAACUGUAUUAGUUUGCUCAUGCUGCUGUGACAAAAUACUACAGACCAAAUGGCUUAAACGACAGAAGUUUUUUUUUCUCACCGUUCUGGAGGCUGGAGUCCAAGAUCAGCGUGCUGGCAGGGUUGGUUUCCCCUUAGGACUCUUUCCUUAGCUAGAAGAUGGACACCUUCUUGCUAUGUUUUCACAUACGGUCAUUUUUCUGUGUUCAUGAAUCAUGGUUUAUCUUCCUCUUCUUAUAAGGACGCUAGUCAUAUUGGAUUUGGGCCCCAUGAAAAUGGUUCAUUUUAACUUACUCACCUCUUUAAAGACGUUAGCUCCAAAGAUUGUUGUAUGCUGAGUUACUUGGGGUUGGAACUUCAACGUAUGAAUUUUGGAGGUAGAAGAUAUAUUUGAGAGUAAAAAGGGGUUCUGUUAACCCAUUUAUGCCUGAGGUUGCAAUUUUUUGAAGUUUUGCAAUCAGAUCUUGGCAAUGACCUGGAGCGGUAGGAUAUAAAUAAUUCCCACAUGCUUAGCAUUCCAAUAAUGGAACACUAGGCAUAAAUGGGCUAAAAAUUACUUUGGAGCAGCAGUCUUAAAUGGACCAUUUAGGGCAAACUGGAACAUAUGGACACCCUAACAUUCUGGCCCCAUCACUCACUCUACAGCCAUCUUCUUUUAAACCACUGCACCUCUCUGAGUCUCAGUUUCUUCAUCUGUUGAAUGGAGAUAAUCAUAUCAACUCCCCCAAGCAGGCACUUUUAAAAUACUAGUAAAUGCAUACUGAUUACCUGACAGUACUGAGCACCACUGCAUGCUCUGUAAAGGUUAACCAUUGCUAUUAUUGAAACCAAACUGCUCACUGAGGUCUAUGGGCCUAUGUGAUUUGACCCCUAGCUGCUUUUCCAAAUUCAUUUCUUCCCCCUUCCCCCUUCUCCCUUCUAUUUUAUUACACUGGCACCACAAAGGCCGCCCAGCAGUCAUAUAUCAAGCACAUUCCUGCCUCAGGGCCUUUGUACCUGUUGUUCCCUCCACCUGGAAUGUUUUCCCCUAACCCCUUGCUCCUUUACUUCAUUCAGGUUUUUGCCCAACUGCCACUUCCUCAGAGAUACCUUCCGAGAUAUAUGAUGAGCUGAUAUAAAAU
ensembl:lncRNA TMEM132E-DT TMEM132E divergent transcript